rnacentral:rRNA from 1 species
UACGUAGGGUGCGAGCGUUGUCCGGAAUUACUGGGCGUAAAGAGCUCGUAGGUGGUUUGUCGCGUUGUUCGUGAAAACUCACAACUCAAUUGUGGGCGUGCGGGCGAUACGGGCAGACUGGAGUACUGCAGGGGAGACUGGAAUUCCUGGUGUAGCGGUGGAAUGCGCAGAUAUCAGGAGGAACACCGGUGGCGAAGGCGGGUCUCUGGGCCUUAUCUGACGCUGAGGCGCGAAAGCUAGGGGAGCAAACAGG